UAUGACAUUACGGGAAAAAUCUCAUCUACACUAAUAUAUAAAGCUGAAGAAUUUGCUUGUAACGCACUAAUCUCAAGAAUUACUACACCGAUAUUGAAUUUUUUACUAAUGGGAAGCUACAUUACUCCUGAGUGAGGGCUACCUUUUAUCCCAGGAAAAUUUUUAACCCCGGAAAAGCACGCGGGCGGAGUAGCGAGAAAAAGCUAUUUGCCUACAUUCCCCGGAAAUAGUGAAAGACAUUUAAAAACACCUUUUCCUUAUAAUUAUUUCACACAAUUCACCUUUAUUGGUCUGGGGACUCUGAAAGUAAUUACGAGCGGCCAUUUUACACUCACUUAAGAAGCGGUGAAACUGACAUUGCUACUGUCUUUAACUUAAUGAGACCCUAAAUUACGUUUGAGGAUGUACGAAGCGGCAAGGAUGUAAACAUUAUACAUACACUCGUAAAUAUAAUUUUAAGCCUACGUUUAGAUACAAACCCUAAGUACUGGAAAUCAAAAUUAAACCAAAUGUAAGAUA